GCUGUCCACAGGUGCACAGAGGACUGAUCCCCAGAGACCAGUCCCCAGCAGGCCAGCUGAGUAAGCUGGGCAAGAGAUUUGUCACAGGAAUAGAAAUCUGGCUGACAAAGGAAGGUUAGACACAUGGGAAAACACCAGAGGAACACAUGCACAGAAGACAGAUCAUGUGACCAGGUAACAAGAGGGCAGCUGCCUGCAAGCCAAGGAGAGUGGCCUCCCAGGAGCCAAACUUGUUAACACCGUGGUCUCAGAUGUCCAGUCCCUAGAACUUUAACUGGGUAGGAUAAGUCAGCUGGUUUCCAUUGCUGCUGCUGGUGUCAGGAAGCACAGAGCCAAAUGACCAGUUGGAGUGACCUCAGUGCCUGGAGCCAGUCCACAUCGGUGGGAUAGGAUAUUGGAUCAGUAUUGGAGUGGGGGAGUGAUUCCAUGGUUACCACUUUCAGUGAGGAAAGUAAAGUUGGGUUGAGCACUGAGCACUGGGCCCAAGAAGAGAAGCAUAUUGAUAUGUGUGAGCACUACCAAGAACAAAGCCUUCGUGAUAAGGAGAGCAUUGCCGAGGGAGCACUACCCUCUGUUCUCACAAGGAGGGUUACUGCCUACAUGGCCUUGCAAAAGGAGCACACUUCUGAGGGGAGCACUCUUGAGAACACCUCAGAUUUGGAGCACACUGCUCAGGGGAGCACUCUUGUAUCAUUAAGCUCAGGGUGGCUAUCAGCUUCAGGAUGAUGGUAGAAGAUGCUGCCUCAGGGCAGGGCUCCCAGGAUCCAUGAGAUCAUGGGCCAGGCAGUAGCACUUAGUGUUAUCCCUCAAUUCCUCAAGGUGGGUAUAAUUAACAUAAUGGGCUCCAAGUUCCAAACAAGGAGAAGGGACAAGUGUCCUGGUUUUCAGAGCUGUAGGGAAUGGAAGUAAACACCGGAAAAGAUGUUCUCUGGGGCCCAGGGGCCAGGUAACUACUAAGACAAUGCCUCAUAUUGGAAAUUGAGAGCGGGGAAUGGUUUCACAUACAAAUUCCCAUCACAGGACAAAUGUAUAAGCACAUGUGGCAUGCUCAGUCAGGAAUAAAAACACAUGCAUCCA